UUAUUUUCUAGAUUUUAAAACUUAUUAUAAAGUGCCAUAUGUUCUUAAUUAAUCCUUGUCAAUUCCACGGACAAGCUUUAGACCCAUUUUUUCUUUAAGGGUGGAAAGAGGUCACAGAGAAGGGGUUACCAGGUUGGCCAGUUGUCAUACUUUGUUUACAAGGGUUGCUCAUUUGCUUACCAGAUCUGGCUUUGUGCAGUGACCUGGGAUUGGAUGUUAAGAACUU
rnacentral:misc_RNA from 1 species